AUGUUGGAAAUGUGCAGCGGAUACACACGCAACAAAGAUUGCAAGGUUCAACACUAUUGCUACAUUUGUGAUAAGAUUGCUCAUCCAACAUUGCGAUGUCCUGUCUUGAAACUUCCUAAGGCCAAUGCCUUUGUUUCGGGAGUAGGAGCUGAAGAGACUCGUUUUGCUCAAUUACCUGAUUGUGUUGUGAAAGGUCACUUGGCACCAACUCAGUCUCCUAUUGCGUGUGUUCAUGUUAGUGGUAUUAUGGUACCUGCUUAUGUUAUUGAGAGCCAGGUCCUAAGGAGAUUCCCGGUUCAGACACAGUGGAAGUGGGAGGCUAUACCACAUGGGGAGGAUGCAUAUCUUGUUAGCUUUCCAUCUUUUGAGGAUUUGGACAGGGUCGAUGGAAUUCAGAUGAAUGUGUCAUCGGUUAACGCUCAGAUCACAAUCUCUGCAUGGAAGUCUCAGGAGAUCCCACAUAAGUUGGAACUCAAGCAGGUUUGGAUCCACGUAGAGCGUGUCCCACACACUGUUCGCCAUUUUUGGGGCUUGUGGGCAGUGGGCUCUCUAAUAGGAAAGACCAUUGACGUCGAUCUCGUCAACCUAAGACGUCGUGGGGUUGUUCGGAUUCUUAUGGCCAUGAUGAAUACUCAGAUUUUAUCGAAGGAGAAAGAUGAUGUUAGGCCUUUUAUCUCCAUGGAUGUGGUGGUUAAACCAAAAGGAUAUGCAGUCGCAUUCAGGAGAGAACCAGCGGGCUAUGUUCCGAACCCGGAUUUUAUGCCGUUUAUUUGA
rnacentral:rRNA from 1 species